CCGUCGCCGCCAAAACUCUUUGAACUGCCUGUGUAGUUUAAUUACACACAAAGCUGCGGUUAAACUGGUAAAAUAGACGCGAUGGUUAGAAUCGCUGUCAUUUAUACAUGCGGGUUGUUUCUUCAAGACUUGGGUCUAAUCCAGUAAACUACUUGUAAGCAAGAUAAACAGGUACAGAAUAUGAACGAGAAGACUGGUGAUGAUAACAAGACAACAAAAGAAAAUAUGUUGUUGUUGUUAAGAAGAUUUUUUCCUGUUCCUCGCAGAAGGGGCAGAAACAUACUUGGAUGGAAAAUGUGCAUAAACUUUGCAUAAGUUUUGUUGAAACUUCAAUUGAUAAUGAAGAAUGCUGCAAAAUAUUGUUUGUUACAAUAUUUGAAUGACUGUAAGAGAUGUUGAGUGAUUGGUAUUCACACAGGUGCUGUGUUAGUGCAAAACAAUGCAAGCAUAUGUUGAAUGAACACACAAGAUUGUGCCAUACCAUAAGGGAGCAGUAUGUUCCGGAUAUUCUAUUUGUAUAAACCCAACACAACUACAAUGUAAUGUGGAUAUAUACUAGAAUCAGAUUGUCUGUCUGUCUGUUUGUCUACCCAUUGGAGAUACUGAAUUAACUUGUUAGAUAGAUCAUGUAUGUUAUUGUUGUGGAAAGUAGUUCCUAGCAACUAUAUCUCUAUUGCCUGUUGCAAUUUGAAAAGAAGAUUUUGUUUAAUAGAUGAAACUGGCUAGGUGUUACUAUUUCAGCAUUAGUAUGAUGUUAGAUCAUAUAUUACAUGUACAUCAAUUUUUAUAUGCCCAUUUGAAAAACAAGACAUACAAUGGGAACCUGGUUGGCAGGCAGUGUCAUAUUUUGUAAGCAUUGUAUUUUGGACGUCACAAACCAAAAUCAAGGAGUAAAUGACUCCCAAACUUCCACUAAAAGAAGCCCUGCCCAUGCAGGGAUUUUAAUGAAACUUCAUAGAAAUUCUCACCAGAUGAAAGGUCAAGGUCACACUUAGAAAACAUUGAUAAAUGCUUAUUAGGAGCAAAACGUGCGUCAAUAUCACUUCCCAAAAAUGUUCACCAUUGUGAGGCAUAGCGUCACAUGCUUAAGUCCAGUCCUUGUGGUCAAGGUCACAUACAGAGGUUAAAGUUCAGAUAAAAGUAUUGAAUGUGUAAAGGAACCAUUUCGUCAUCAUUUGUUGAGGGAUUGUUACACAUAUGGUCAUUAUCAUGACUAUGGCUGUGACACAUGUAUGUAAUUUUGUUCAAUAUAUGCAAGGUCUUGAAGGCCACUAAAGAUGAUAAAAUAUCCAGAUUUUCACUGGAACAUCUAUAUUCUCCUACAUGCAUGAAAUAAUUUUUUAUAACAUGUUUUUUCUAUCUGAUGAAAUAUGCUUUUGUAUAGCAUUUUGUUCGAUCCAAAAAGGGAUUCUUAUAAUACCAGAUAUAAUUUUAUCAGAUUUUUUUUUGGUUCUUUCGACAAAACAACCGGUCAAUUUUAAUAGAUUGAGUUCAACAGGUUUUUCUAUCUCUUGCAAUAUGCUUUGGUAUAGCAAUUUUCUUUCAUCAACUGAACAAAAUGCCUAUACCGGAUUUUCUAUCUGAAUUUUUUUGUUCGGUAAACCAAACAAAAUAUCAAUUUUUUUCAUUGGAUACAACAUGUUUUUUCUAUCCAUUGAAAAUUUAAUGUUCUUUUGUAUAGCAUUUUUGGGGCAUUUUUGUUCGAUCAACUGAACAAAAUGUCUUAAACAGGUAUUUUCAUUAGAUGCAAAAUUUUAAGAUUGACUAUUCGCAGAAUAAUGAGAGCUAUUGUAGUCACCCCGGCGUCCACGUCGGCAUUAGUUAAAGUUUUUGUAAAGUCAAAUAUCUCAAUAAUUGCUUGAGAUACUCAAUUGAAACUUACAAUACUUAUUUAUAGUAACAUUAUUAUGAUUGUACAUCAGAAUGACAAGUUGGAUAACUCUGCCUACAAUAAUUACAGAAUUAUGCCCCUUUUUAACUUAGAAAUUUUGGUCAAAGUUUUUUAUAAAGUCAAAUAUCUCAAUUAUUGCUUGAGAGAUUCAAUUGAAAUUUAAAAUACUUUUUCAAAGUAACAAUGUACAUCAGUCUGCAAAGUUGCAUAACUCUGCCUGCAAUAUUUGCAGAAUUAUUUGCCCCUUAGAAACUUAGAAAUUUGGUUAAAGGUCUUCAAAGAUAUUUACUUGAAACUUUACACAUGUACUUAGGGUCAUAAUUGAAGGUCACAUCUCAAGAUUCAUUACUCUGCCAUGUAUUUUUACUAAAUUAUGCUCCCUUUCAUGCUAAAAAAAUCUUUUUUUCUUGGUUAAGUUUAACAUGCAAGUUUUUGCAUAUCUCUGAAACUAUUAAAGAUACAAACUUGAAACUUCAUAUGUAUAUUUGUGGUUAUAUAUAAUGAUCACUGAACAGCACUCAUAUCUGUGUCAUGUAUUUAGGCUGAUUUAUCUCCCCCUUUUUACUUAGUCUCUUGGUUAAUGUUUACAUGUAAGUUUUACAUAUCUCAAUAACUAUCAGAGAUUUUGAUUUGAAACUUCACAUAUGCAUGAAGGGUCUCAAUUGUAUGUCUCUGACCAAGUUCCAUAACUCUAUCUUGCAUUUAGGCUGAUUUAUCUCCCUAUUUCUACUUAGUCUCUUGGUUAAUGUUUACAUGCAAGUUUUACAUAUCUCAAUAACUAUAAUAUUAAAGAUAUUUAUUUAAAACUUCACAUAUGCAUUUAGGGUCAUAAUUGUAGGUCACUGACCAAGAUCCAUAAUUCUAUCUUGCAUUUAGGCUGAUUUUUCUCCCCUUUUUAUGCUCCCCGAAGGGAGAGCAUAUAGUCGCCACCUUGUCAGUCUGUCCGUCCGUUGUCUUGUCCGUAGCAUAACUUGAAAUCCUUUGAGAUAAUUUGUUUAAACUUCAUACAGUGGUAGAGGGCAUUGAGGGGGAGUGCAGUGUCAAAGAACCAUAACUCUGUUUGCCCGGUUUUUGAAUAAUCUCCCCUUUUAGAAAAAUCUUGUCCGG